rnacentral:lncRNA from 1 species
CCAGUUCUCCCAACCGUCGAAAAGCACCUUGAGGGCGGUAACAGAAGCAGGCAGACCUUGGAAUCUGGCUUUCCACCAGGCGUCAAAGUCAGCAAAACUGCAGGAAUUCAGCUCCCACGAGGGAUAGAGGGCAUCCGUGCUGUUGUUGAUUUUGUUCACUGCACACCGGGCAUCCUUGUGCACCUCCAGAUCAUCUGCA